UACGUAGGGUGCAAGCGUUGUUCGGAUUCAUUGGGGCGUAAAGGGCGCGUAGGCGGCGGGGUAAGUCUGGUGUGAAAUCUAGGAGCUCAACUCCUAAACUGCACUGGAUACUGCUCUGCUAGAGGACUGGAGAGGAGACUGGAAUUCACGGUGUAGCAGUGAAAUGCGUAGAUAUCGUGAGGAAGACCAGUGGCGAAGGCGGGUCUCGUGGACAGUUCCUGACGCUGAGGCGCGAAGGCCAGGGGAGCAAACGGG
rnacentral:rRNA from 1 species